GACGUAGGGCGCGAGCGUUGUCCGGAUUUAUUGGGCGUAAAGAGCUCGUAGGCGGCUUGUCGCGUCGUCCGUGAAAACCCACAGCUCAACUGUGGGCUUGCGGUCGAUACGGGCAGGCUAGAGUUCGGUAGGGGAGACUGGAAUUCCUGGUGUAGAGGUGAAAUUCGUAGAUAUCGGGAGGAACACCGGUGGCGAAGGCGGCGACCUGGGUAGAUACUGACGCUGAGGUGCGAAAGCGUGGGGAGCAAACAGG
rnacentral:rRNA from 1 species